rnacentral:rRNA from 1 species
GGCUAGCGUUGCUCGGAAUCACUGGGCGUAAAGCGCACGUAGGCGGAUUGCUAAGUCAGGGGUGAAAUCCUGAGCUCAACUCCAGAACUGCCCUUGAUACUGGCGGUCUCGAGUCCGGGAGAGGUGAGUGGAACUGCGAGUGUAGAGGUGAAAUUCGUAGAUAUUCGGCAAGAACACCAGUGGCGAAGGCGGCUCACUGGCCCGGUACUGACGCUGAGGUGGCGAAAGCGUGGGAGCAA